AUUGUCUCUGUGGGAUUGGCAGCACUUUCAAUAACAGCUGUGACAGUCAACAUGUGGACAAAAACUAAAGGGAAGAAAACACAGAUGGAUAAAAACACACUGACACACUGAAAGAAAACCAGCAGGAUGCAAAGCAAAAGAAUUUGAACAACAAAUCACAAAUGAACAAAACGCGACGCACCCCACUGCGCAAGGUGACGUCAGAGUGACGUUUUUAUACGUCAGUCCACUGAAGGGAUUGUUUUGGAACGCCAGGCGACGUCUUUUUUCUGAUGUCUACUUAAAGUUAAGUGUUGAUAUCUGUACGGUCUCCGUGUACGGGCUAUUUAUAGUCCAAAUUUGGUUGUGGACGACUUUUCAACGUCAAACUUAGACUC
ensembl:lncRNA